CCUGCAUCCCGAAUAUGAUUCUAGAUAUGAAAUGAUGUCAAAUUCAAUAUCAUAUUCAUAUUUUUCUUAAUCUUUAAUGAUGAUUCAAUUAAUGAAAUAUUAAAAACUCUUUCUAAUUUUCAUCUUGCUUUGAUCAAAAGCUUUUUGAAUCAUCAAUCGAUUAGAGCAAAUAGGAUACGAUCUCCUCUUACCAAGAGUGAUCGAUUUCAUGUUGACCUACUCACAA
rnacentral:lncRNA from 1 species